rnacentral:tRNA from 1 species
UGGGGCUGUAGCACAGUUGGAAGAGCGCUUGCAUGGCAUGCAAGAGGUCAGGGGUUCGACUCCCCUCAGCUCCAU